rnacentral:rRNA from 1 species
GACGGAGGAUGCAAGUGUUAUCCGGAAUCACUGGGCGUAAAGCGUCUGUAGGUGGUUUAAAAAGUCUAUUGUUAAAAAUUGAAGCUUAACUUCAAAGAUGCAAUGGAAACUUUUAAACUUGAGUAUGGUAGGGGUAGAGGGAAUUUCCAGUGGAGCGGUGAAAUGCGUAGAGAUUGGGAAGAACACCGGUGGCGAAAGCGCUCUACUGGGCCUGCACUGACACUGAGGGACGAAAGCUAGGGGAGCAAAUGGG